GCUGGUCUGGUUGCCUCAGGGUGUGGGAAUGGUGCAGUGCCUGUGGGGGCUCCUGCGGCUCCCUCCCCUACGCUAGGGGGAGGCCCCAGCGUCCUGCGCUGUCUUUGCACGGCUUCCUGCGUGCCCCUGGUCCUCGCAGGCUGGUCCGCAGCGCCCUGAGGGUGUCUUAAGAGUCCGCAGGUGUGUUACUGUUGGAUAAAGCAUGAUUAUUCUGGAAGCCUAGCUAGGGUGGUGCCCUUUCAGAUGAGGCACCGAUCUGAUAGCUGAAGGGCUGAAGUUUGGAAUUCGCCCUCUGGGAGAAAUGCUGUGGAGAGAUGUCUGUGAUGCCUAGGUAAUGGCUCCUGCCACUUGAACCUACAGGCUGUGAUGAGAAGUGAAGAGCUGCGUCCUUUCUCCCUGGCUACUAUGGGUUUUGUUAACGCAGAGGAUAUCUCCCAUCUGGUGUUGGGCAGAUCCCAGGAACUUCCAUCUAGUUUUCCUGCAUUAACCUGUGUGAGCAGCUGUCAACUUACUGGAGGAAAGAAACUGCCCAGAAAUUUUGAGAUGCUUAAGUAUUUUUAGACCAAUUAGACUUAUUUAACAUAAAUACUGUUUUUAUCAAAAGAUUCCAAUAAAAUAUUUUAAAGCAAAAUAAAAGUUUGGUUUCCAUAAAAACAAGAUGGUACAAAAAGAUUUAGGGAAGUGAAAGGUAACCAUCUGUGAAUGAACAUCACAGCUGACGGCUAUACCUCUUUGCAACUGUAUACAAAAAGCUAAAACCGGGUUGACACUAGAAUUAAGGAUUUUAGGUGGUCUGCCAUAGGAUUUUAAGGGACUAGAUGUUAACAAGUAUUAAAGGUUUUUAGGGUGUUGAAAUACUAACACAGGUGCUUAGUUUGCCUUUUGAAGAAUAAGUGGAAAGAGGUGGUCUAUAUUUUAAAAGCAUAUACCCAUGGUGGUUGCUAGGGGCUGGGGAAAG